rnacentral:rRNA from 1 species
UACAGAGGUCUCAAGCGUUGUUCGGAUUCAUUGGGCGUAAAGGGUGCGUAGGCGGCGCGGUAAGUCGGGUGUGGAAAUCAUCGGGGCUUAACUCCGAAACUGCAUUCGAUACUGCCGUGCUUGAGGACUGGAGAGGAGACUGGAAUUUACGGUGUAGCGGUGAAAUGCGUAGAUAUCGUAAGGAAGACCAGUGGCGAAGGCGGGUCUCUGGACAGUACUGACGCUGAGGUACGAAAGCGUGGGUAGCGAACGGG